rnacentral:rRNA from 1 species
AUUGAACGCUGGCGGCAGGCCUAACAAAUGCAAGUCGAACGAGUGGCGGACGGGUGAGUAAUGUCUGGGAAACUGCCUGAUGGAGGGGGAAAACUAAUGGAAACGGUAGCUAAUACCGCAUACCAUCAGAUGUGCCCAGAUGGGAUUAGCUAGUUGGUGGGGUAACGGAUCCCCAAGGCGAAGAUCCCUAGCUGGUCUGAGAGGAUGACGUGCCAACCUGGAACUGAGACACGGUCCAGACUCCUACGGGAGGCAGCAGUGGGGAAUAUUGCACAAUGGGCGCAAGCCAGGUGCAGCCAGGCCGCUUGUAUGAAGAAGGCCUUCGGUUUUUAAAGUACUUUCAGCGGGGAGGCGUUACCCACAGAAGAAGCCCCGGCUAACUCCGUGCCAGCAGCCGCGGUAAUAC